ensembl:lncRNA
GGCCUCAGGGCUGCCCUCCUGCCCUUCCCCCACACCUCCUGUGACUGCCUCUUAAAUGGGUACUCAGGGUGAUAAGGAGGCACAGGUGAGGGAGCCAGGCUGGAUCCACACCCACCCAUGCCCGUUGUUAGGAAAACAAGCUUUUAUUGCCUGGCCCUGCUGCUGGUGUCUGAGAGUAUAAAAUGGGACCCAGAGCCAGCCUCUCCCUUCCUCUCAGUCACACCAAGGCAACAGUGUUUAAAAGGAAAGGAGGCAGUGGCAUGGAGGCUCCAGAGACUGAGCCAUUCCUAUGGAAAAGGGAGGCAGUGGGGACCCUGCUGAGGGCCACCUGGCAGGUGUUCCAUUCUACCUUUCUCAUGGGACCCACAGCCUCUUCAUCAGUGAUGUCUUCAGGUUCACCGUCCCCAAGCUGCUUAGGCUUUUUCUGGAGUUUACUGGUGAUCGCAAGUCUCCGGCCUGGUAGGGCUACCUCCUCGCGGUGCUGAUGUUCCUCUCGGCCUGCCUGCACACGCUGUUUAAGCAGCUGAACACGUGCCGGCUCAAGGUGCUGCAGAUGAGGCUGCAGUCUGCCAUCGCUGGCCUGGUGUACAGAAAGGUGAGCCCCGGGGACAAGUGCAGGUCUUCCCAGCCGGGAAAAGGCACAAAACUGAACUGGUUGGUAGUAAUGCUAUCAGCGGCUGAGAACUUAAGGUCCUUACUUAUUAGAGUCACUCACGAUAUAUUCUCACUUCCUUUGUUAUUUCUCUUUACUUGUAUGUAUUUUUUCAAUUAAGAGUCUCCACCCGCCGUGACCUCCUAGAGUUCUGGGAUUACUGGCGUGAGCCACCUCGCCCGGCCUCCCUUCCUUCUUAAGUCUGAGUCAUCUUCUGCUGUGCAGAUGGAUCACACUGUGUUUACCUUUUCAUCUUAUGGUGGACACCUCAGGUGGUUUUGCCUUUUGGCUGUUGUGAAUCAUGCUGCUGUGAGCACAGGUGUGCAAACACCUCCCUGAGUUCCUGCUUUAUAUUCUUUUGGGAUGGAUGGAAGUGGCUUUGUUAGAGCAAAUGGUAAUGCUGUGUGUAAGUGUUUUGAGGGACCACCGUUUGUAAAGUGUUUGUUGUUGUUGAGAUGGAGUCUCACUGUGUCACCCAGGUGGGAGUGGAGUGGUGUGAUCUGGCUUCACUGCAACCUCCCUCCCAGGUUCAAGCCAUUCUCAUGCCUCGGCCUCCUGAGCACCUGAGAUUACAGGCACCUGCCACCACAUCUGGCUCAUAUUUGUAUUUUUAGUAGAGACAGGGUUUCACAAUGUUGGCCAGGCUGGUCUCAAACUCCUGGCCUCAGGUGAUCCGUCUACCUCGGCGUCCCAGAAUGUUGGGAUUACAGGUGUGAGCCACCUCACCUGGCUCUUGUAAAGUGUUUAAAUCAUCCUGUUUUACUGUUCUUCAGCUGGGGUUAUGAUCUCAGCCCUGCUUCUCUCUGCUCCUGCUAAGGGACUCUCUGUAGGCAGCCCAGUCCCUGCCUCUGUCCAGGAGACAGCAUACCUGAAAGUGAAGUUGGGUCCGUCCUGCCUCAGUGCCGCUUCUGUUUUAAGUAAAUAUCCUGUGGGGUCAGGAGAGAAAAUCCCAAGUGCACCUGUGGAACACCAUGGGCAUCCCCAAACUCAGGACUGUGGGAGAGAUGAGGUGUUGGAGGAGAGGUAAAUCUGGAAGCUGCUUCGCCCCACUCUGUCCCCUGUCCCGACUUUUUUUUUUUUUUGAGAUGAAGUCUUGCUCUGUCAUUCAGGCCUGGAGUGCAGUGAUGCAAUCUUGGCUCACUGCAACCUCUGCCUCCCGGGUUCAAGAGAUUCUCCUGCCUCAUCCACCUCAGUAGCUGGGACCACAGGUGAGUGCUACCACACCUGGCUAAUUUUUGCAUUUUUAGUAGAGCUGGGGUUUCGCUAUGUUGGCCAGGCUGGUCUUCAACUCCUGACUCUAGGCGAUCCACCCACCUUGGCCUCUCAAAGUGCUGGUAUUCCAGGUGUGAGCCACUGCGCUCAGCCAAGCCCUGUUCCAUUCUAAUCCCACCACCUGUGAAGGCUUCUGGGUGCUCACAGAAACAACGGCCCCACUAUGACGGCUCCCACUCCCUUGGUCUCAGAGUUCUGGGGACGCACAGUGAGGAGUAAUUGUUUUCCUCACUCAUCUGGAUGUGAUGAGCCUGGUCAAAGAAGUUUGCUGUUGCUGACUUGCAGCUGGUCAGGUCCCUGCCCUGUGGAAAUUGCCCCUACUAAAUCCUUAUGCCUCAGUUUACCGAGCUAACUCAGACCUCCAGCCCUGCCCCAGGCUGGGUUAGGCUCCCCCCAUCUCACCAUGUGGGAAUCUCCAUGUGAUACUUUAUUUACUUAUUUGUUGAGACGGGAUCUUCCUCUGUCACCCAGACUGGAGUGCAGUGGUAGUCUCAGCUCACUGCAACCUCUGCCUUCAUGUCCAAGUGAUCCUCCUACCUCAGCCUACUGAGUAGCUGGAAUUAUAGGCACAUGCUACCACGGUCUGAUAAUUUUUAUAUUUUUAGUAGAGACGAGGUUUCUCCAUGUUGGUCAGGUGGGUCUCAAACUCUUGAUCUUGUGAUCUGCCCACCUCAGCCUCCCAAAGAUCUGGGAUUACAAACCCACCGCGCCUGACCUGUGUGGCACUUCAAUGAAGUCAGGUGUAUAGUUGAUGGCUGCGUGAUCAUCUUCCCACCACGGGGCAGGGCUAAAAGCUGUGUUGUCUGGAAAUUUCUCAGCUCUUUAUGCUGGUAAGGGAAGGAGGAAGAGGGGGCCCUCAGGGGACAUGCAGCGAGGUUUGGUGGGGACAUAGCUCAUCAGGUUGUACUUGGUGUUCCCAUGUAACUUGUAACCGCUCUCAUAGAAGGUGGCCUAGAACCCUAGGGAGUAGGGGUUGCUCUCUUUCACCUAGGGGUGGGGAGAAGAGAAGCUGAAGCUAUACAGAGCCAGCAGGCAGGACAGGGCAACCACGGCCAGGUGCCGUGGCUAAUGCCUGUAAUUACAGCAGUUUGGGAGGCUGAGGCAGGUGGACCAUUUGAGGUCAGGAGUUUGAGACCAGCUGGCCAACAUGGUGCAACCCCGUCUCUACUAAAAAUACAAAAUUAGCCAGGCAUGCUACUCAGGAGGGUGAUGCAGGAGA